rnacentral:ncRNA from 1 species
GGGGAAGUAUGGUUGCAAAGCUGAAACUUAAGGGAAGUGACGGAAGGACACCACCAGGAGUGGAGCUUGCGGCUUAAUUUGACUCAACACGAGAAAACUUAUUUGGGCCAGACACUAUAAAAAUUGACAGAUUGAUAGCUCUUUCAUGAUUUAGUGUUUGGUGGUUAAUGGCCGUUCUUAGUUCGUGGAUAUGAUUUGUCUGAUUGAUUCCAAUAACGAGCGAGACUUUUAUGUUAUAUUAAAUUAUAUUAUUUUUUAAUAAUAUUAAUUUUAAUAACAGAUUAAUAGUGUUUAACUAUUUGAGAGAGAGCGAUAACAAAUCUGUGAUGCUCUUAGAUGUCUGGGGCUGCACGCGCGCUACAAUGUAGUGAUCAUUAUGUUCCUGUUUAGAGAUAAAUGGGUAAACAUUGAAAACAUUACGUAACUGGGAGUGAAACUUGCAAUUAUGUUUCAUGAACGAGGAAUUCCAAGUAAACGUAAGUCAUUAGCUUACAUUGAUUACGUCCCUGCCCUUUGUACACACCGCCCGUCGCUGCCCGGAACUGAGCAAUAUCGAGAGGCAGGAAAAGAUAUAAAUAAUUUUAUAUUUUUUAUGUUAAAUCCUUCCAAUCGCUGUUGUUUGAACCGAACAAAAGUCGUAACAAGGUUUUCGUAGAUGAAACUGCGAAAA